AGCAACCAAGUGAAGAAAGGGGUUUACUUCAGCUACCAAAUCCAGGUUACUGCCCAUCAUUGUGAAGUCAAGGCAGUGUCAAACGGCAAGGCACAUGACGUCUUCGGAGAAACACAAAGUGGCUUACAAGCAUCCAUCCUCUGCCUGCUGUGGUAACAUGCAAGGAUACAUGUCCGUUGACAUUUGGAGGCGUGGUCACAGUCAUGACAUUCCUGCUUCUGCUGCAUGCUGAGAACUUAAGAACAGGACACGCUAAGCGGUGGCAGGAAAGCAACUCAAGGGAGAAAGGAUGAUUCUGACUUGGCUCAGGGUAUGGUCCAUCGUGGCAGCCGAUUCCAGCAGCAACAGCUUGAACUUCUGUUGUGUCUCCAUCAACUUUGGAAGCAGAUAGGACAAGAGCACUUUUGCAUUAUUCAGGAGGGCCGGUGAAAUCUGAGAGGAAUUGACUGACCAUAGGGUUCCACGUUUGAGCAUUGUUGCCCGACUGCAAACAUCAAGUUGGAGAAGUCAUUUGACAAACACGUUUUUUCUCCCUUUCUAUGUGUGCCUUCUGGUGCUUUUAGAACUUUUAUGCAUUUGUUGUAUGAUCUGGC
ensembl:lincRNA 4930448H16Rik RIKEN cDNA 4930448H16 gene